ACAGGCACAGCCAUAUCCAGGCUAUUGAGUACUGCAACCAGACGUGUAUAAUUCACCAGGAUAACAGCCGUACUGAGUGUCCUAAGGGAUGCCGAUGCACCAUCCAAAGCUCCGAAAGAUCUACCGGACCAGGAUAUUGCUGGAGGUUAUGAUUUCAUCGGAAAUACUGUUACUAUGGUCCUCGGGAGUUGAAGAAAAAAUUAAAGUGCUCUUCUCUGCGCAAUAAAUAUACAAGCGACCAGUUUUUCAUUA
rnacentral:lncRNA from 1 species